rnacentral:rRNA from 1 species
CACGCCCUAAACGGUGCACACUAGGUGUUGGCGGAUUCGACCCCGUCAGCGCCCAAGCUAACGCGUUAAGUGUGCCGCCUGAGGACUACGGCCGCAAGGCUAAAACUCAAAGGAAUUGACGGGGGCCCGCACAAGCGGUGGAGCAUGUGGCUCAAUUCGAUGCAACGCGAAGAACCUUACCAGGCCUUGACAUGCAUUGGACCGACGCUGAAAGGCGUUUUUCCCGCAAGGGACCGAUGCACAGGUGC